rnacentral:rRNA from 1 species
AUUGAACGCUGGCGGCAGGCCUAACACAUGCAAGUCGAGCGAGCGGCGGACGGGGGAGUAAUGUCUGGGAAACUGACUGAUGGAGGGGGAUAACUACUGGAAACGGUAGAUAAUACCGCAUACGAUCAGAAGUGCCCAGAUGGGAUUAGCUAGUAGGUGGGGUAACGGCUCACCUAGGCGACGAUCCCUAGCUGGUCUGAGAGGAUGACCAGCCACCCUGGAAUUGAGACACGGUCCCGAUUCCUACGUGAGGCAGCAGCGGGGAAUAUUGCACAAUGGGCGCAAGCCUGAUGCAGCCAUGCCGCGUGUGUGAAGAAGGCCUUCGGGUUGUAAAGCACUUUCAGCGGGGAGGCGUUACCCGCAGAAGAAGCACCGGCUAACUCCGUGCCAGCAGCCGCGGUAAUUC